GCACUGGGGCCAAUCACGGGCCUUUGUCUGUUUUCCCCAGGGCUGGUUGCCUUCAGGGUGGAGGUGGGGACACCACGGUUCCCAGCGUUCCCCAGGGCUCGGUUUGGCUGACCCCCAGGGGGUGCUCAGUACAGGUCACCUUGGCGUGGGUGUUGAGGAGCUCGAACAGGGCGAUGGCGAGGGCCUCCACGGAGAUGCUGCUGCCACGGUAUUGGUCCAGGUAGUAGGCCAUGGUAGCACGCUCCUGCCGGUUCAGCACGUGCCGGGCCUGCUCCUCCAGCAGCACACGCGUCUGGUUCCCCAGGCUGCUCAGGGUCACCUGGGAGCCAGCAGGGCCCUUGUAAAAUCCCAGCUGAAAGACAGGAACACAGAGGCCUGGGGAUGCUGAGCUGAUCGGAGUCAGGGACCUGGCCAGGUGGAGGCAACCACAGAGGGAGGGGCCAGUUUCUGAAAGCCCUCAGGGGUCUCUGCACGACCCACUUCCCCAUAU
rnacentral:lncRNA from 1 species